rnacentral:rRNA from 1 species
CAGCAGCCGCGGGAAUACAGAGGGUGCGAGCGUUAAUCGGAUUUACUGGGCGUAAAGCGUGCGUAGGCGGCUUCUUAAGUCGGAUGUGAAAUCCCUGAGCUUAACUUAGGAAUUGCAUUCGAUACUGGGAAGCUAGAGUAUGGGAGAGGAUGGUAGAAUUCCAGGUGUAGCGGUGAAAUGCGUAGAGAUCUGGAGGAAUACCGAUGGCGAAGGCAGCCAUCUGGCCUAAUACUGACGCUGAGGUACGAAAGCAUGGGGAGCAAACAGGAUUAGAGACCCCUGUAGUCCCUGUCUCUUAUAC